UACGUAGGGGGCUAGCGUUGUCCGGAAUUAUUGGGCGUAAAGGGAGCGCAGGCGGUUGGAAUAGUCUGAUGUGAAAGCCCACGGCUUAACCGUGGAAGGGCAUUGGAAACUGUCCAACUUGAAUGCAGAAGAGGUAAGUGGAAUUCCAUGUGUAGCGGUGAAAUGCGUAGAUAUAUGGAGGAACACCAGUGGCGAAGGCGACUUACUGGUCUGUGAUUGACGCUGAGGUACGAAAGCGUGGGGAGCAAACAGG
rnacentral:rRNA from 1 species